rnacentral:rRNA from 1 species
GACGAACGCUGGCGGCGUGCCUAAUACAUGCAAGUAGAACGCUGAAGGAGGAGCUUGCUUCUCUGGAUGAGUUGCGAACGGGUGAGUAACGCGUAGGUAACCUGCCUGGUAGCGGGGGAUAACUAUUGGAAACGAUAGCUAAUACCGCAUAAUAGUAGAUGUCGCAUGACAUUUGCUUAAAAGGUGCAAUUGCAUCACUACCAGAUGGACCUGCGUUGUAUUAGCUAGUUGGUGAGGUAACGGCUCACCAAGGCAACGAUACAUAGCCGACCUGAGAGGGUGAUCGGCCACACUGGGACUGAGACACGGCCCAGACUCCUACGGGAGGCAGCAGUAGGGAAUCUUCGGCAAUGGACGGAAGUCUGACCGAGCAACGCCGCGUGAGUGAAGAAGGUUUUCGGAUCGUAAAGCUCUGUUGUAAGAGAAGAACGAGUGUGAGAGUGGAAAGUUCACACUGUGACGGUAGCUUACCAGAAAGGGACGGCUAACUAC